GAUAAUUAGAAUAGCUGUGAUACUUUAAUUGAGUUGCUAAUACCAGUGCAGGGAUGUUGCAUAAAAGCCUGGUGGCUGGCAGCUUCUCCUUUAGCCCUGCUGAUUGGUAGGGCUGUGGAGCACGUGUGUGUGCUGGGUGUCUGCCCCCUUCCUUUCAGCUUUCCCUCCCAAAUACAGCCCCUUCUUGGCUCCAUUGUAAUGCUGUGCAGUUGUGUGUAUGUUCUCUGAGAGCAACUCCAUGCGUUCCUUCUUUUCCUCUCCCUUAUCUUGAGCUCUCAGCCUGCAUGGGCACGGGUGCAAGGUCUGUGCCAGUCCCCUCAGGCAACUAAUCUUAGUAGUGAACGUAGAUACAAACCUACAUAUGUGAUUUCAGCCUCUGCCUGGUGCUUGUGGCAAGCCUGAUGCAAUGUGUUCUCAGAAAAGUGUGAGGAGGAAGUAAUGGGCUUCCUUGCUCUUCUGCAGUAAGAAUAGCUCAUUCAUUAUUUAUCUUCACCAGAGUUUGGUUCCUGUAUAUUUGUUGAACUUUGCCUUGCUGCAGUGGCAAUCCUUUUUACUUACUGAAUCCUUGUAGCAGCUUCUUGAAGCUUAUCAAAAUGAGGGGACAUCAGGUUCACUGAAUCCAUCGUUUCCUUCAUCUGAAGUUGUACUGAAAUCAUAGAAUCAGAACAUCCUAAAGGUUGGAAGAGGUCCAUAAGGAUCAUCGAGUCCAUCUCCUGGCCCACCACAGGACCACCCAAAGACCAGACCAUAUGGCAGACAGCACUGAAAAUGACUGUCCUCAGCCAACUGCUCAGUGCAACCUCUAUGGAGGCCUUCUUUCUUGAGCAUUUUUCUUCGAAAGGCUUUGCGAUAGUAUGAAAAGUUGGAGGCUGAGAUCUUCAGCGUUCGAAUCAAACAGAUGUUAAUGGUUUUUCACUUUCCCGGAAGAUCUGGCUUUUAACACGUUUUGGUUACUGGAACUGUUUUCAAGGAGAACGUCACGCCAGGAGCCUCCAGAGUGCUCUGUGUUUGUUACCAAGCUUUUGCAACUGUACUGAUUUGAAGGAUGACGUGGUGUUUGCUCGUGGUCCCAAUUAGAGGCUCUUUAGAGCAAAAUCCAGAGCAAUUUCUGGAUGUCGUUGACCAUGAUAGCUGAUUUUCUAAUCAUGGCUAAGCUGCUCUUCGUUCUGAAGUGAGCAUUGUUGCACCCUGACUGAAGCUGUGUUGCUCUGCAAAGGUGCUACCAGAGGGCAGCCACAGCGAGGCUGGGACAGAGGGCCGAUCAAAUGCUGCUCCUGCACUUCUGUCUCUGUCCCUAAACAGUGCCCCUCUCAAUGUCUUACAGCUACGGAUUUGGUAUCAGCUCAGAUGACUGGAAAUAGCUGCUGUUUUUUCCCAAUGUCCAGAUGUGCUGUUUUUUUUUUUAAACAUCGAAUUGUGCUUUAAAAACGUGGUCAUAUGACAGAGAUUACAGUUGUUAAGUAUUCACGUAUCAAGGAUUUCUAUUUUUGAAGAGGCAAACAACUCCAUUAUAGUUUGCAAUCUAUAUAUAAGAACUUACAGUGAAAAGCACGUACCAGAAAUAACCAAGAUGGGCUGAACCUUUAAGUUCCAAACUAUUUUCCUGAGCAAUGAGAAUAUUUUAUGAAACCUAAAGGAAUCUGCUUCCUGGAAAACCUCCCUCUGAAACAGCCCUGAGCUGCCCUGACGGCCAAGAACAAGAGUUUGGAUGCUUUGGAGCCCUCCUGUUAGAGGAAAUAGAUUUUUGAUGGGGGAUUGAAAUAGAUUUUUAAUGGGGGAAAAGGCUGCCACAAACAUAAGGCUGAAAGGGGGGUAAAAUGGCACGUUGUGUCCGUGCACGGAAUUAUGGACAGUUAUUGAAGGGAAGAUGUACCACAGUUUGGAGCUUUUAGAGUAUUUAAGGCUUAUGUCAUAAGGAUGCCUGAAGCACUACAGUAAUUGAAGUAUUCAAAUCUGCUGAAUGAAUACCAGCUAAACCGUUUUCUUUAGAUAACAUGACUUGAAGCUGCAGAACUGUCAGUGUAUCUCAUAUGCUGCAAUUGUUUGCCUUUUAUUUGUGUGUGAUUCACUACUUUUACUAAUUGUUAGAGCUGUAACGCAUCAGUAUCAUUAAUAACUAAUGACAGCAUGAUCUCACUACAUCUGCAACUAACAGGGUCACUUGGCGUGUCAGCUGUGUCACAGCCCCCAUCAGCACUGGGAUGUGGUGCUCCCAGCAGUCCCCAUUCUCCUUCCUGAUGCUGUACGCACGCCAGGUCUGAGGAUACAGGCUAACAAAUUGGGUUUUAAGCUCCUUUUGAUUGCAGCAUUGCACGCUGCUCCCAGAUCUGCAGGACUGAGCAUGAAACCAGGUCCGGAAACUGAAUCCUGUUUUUAAAACAGGCUUUUUUUUUCCCCACUUGUUUAUCUUCGUAUUGAAUCAGUUCAGCAGUUCAGGUGGUUGUUUGGUCACAGAAACCAUGAGGGUCUGAGGAAUAGGUGGGAAGUGUUCUGGUGGGAGCUGCUUACACCUGCACGGUUGCUGACAGAAAGUUGUGGAAAAGCAAAGAAACUCUGUUACUUGACGAUGAACAGAAGGGAGAGGAGCGUUAAGCACUCUGGCUCUGAUUCAGAUGUUCUUUCUAAGGUUAAAAAAAAAAAAAGCCAGCACACUUAACAUUCUAUUUGGUUGUUGCUGAGAUGUCAUUUAACUGUCUCUUCAUCACGCUAUAGUACAGUAACAAAGCUCCCUCACACCUCUGUUGGAACCAAUACUUUCUUUUCAGACCUUUCUAUCCACUGUUGUAGAAACUGACGCCAGAAGGAAUUUCGACCACAAAAGCAGUGGGAGCAACACGAAGAGAAAUGAGUUAAGAAAGGCAUUUAUGCUCUGAAAGCAGCCUUCUUGUCUUUGUGUUAUAAAAGAUCCUUGAAA
ensembl:lncRNA